rnacentral:tRNA from 1 species
CGAACCGUGGUCGGAACCGGCCGGGACCGGCUCCUCCCGGACGGGGUCGGGUGCCGGUUCCUGCCCGGCCGGUGCGAC